rnacentral:hammerhead_ribozyme from 1 species
AUCCAGAUGAUGAGUCCAGUAUAUGACGAAAUGCGCAUCCUGGAU